rnacentral:lncRNA from 1 species
GUACUGAAGCCUCUGCAGCUCUGAGCCAAAAUAAAUUUUUUCUCCUUGUAAGUUGAUUAUCUCAGGUAUUUUGUUACAGUGAUGGAAAACUGACUAGCACAGGCACCUAGUUGCAUUUAAUGAGUGCAUGUGCUGAAGCCAUGACAUUAUUAAAUGUGAACAAAAUGUAUUGGUAAUAACCCUGUCUUAGGGAUUCUCCUCCUUCCCUGCUUCUCUUUCUCCUUUUCCCAAUUCCCCAUCACUAACCUUAUGAGGCAACCUUUGUUUUAAGUUCAUGUCAGUUUGAUAGGAGUUUCUUUGUGGAGCCUCUAUUGGCGAUAUGGUUGCUAUUUCAAGCCAUUAAAAAUAAGCUGUAUGUGAGUGGUGGAUAAUAUUUUGAGAUAUUGAGGUCCCCCCAGGCUUUCUUGUCCCCAUUAAUCUCCCACCACUAGGGACAUAGAGAUAGGUCUCCAAAUACACUGUCCUCAGGAGAGGAUUGACAAAAGAGACAAAUUAUUGGCUCUGAGUUCUAAAAAAGGGUCUUUCAAUGUACAGCAAGGAGAAAAGUCCCAAAAGGGAAGGCUGUCCACUGUAAGUCCUGGGUUUUCAAAGAGAUGAGAAGGAUUUUAUAUUCUAAAAAUCUGGCCUUGGCGAUAGCCAGGGGUGUGUCUGAGCUGGCAGAUGGUGAACUUCUUCCAAACUCCCUGAUCAGUGACAUCACACGGGGGUUUGCCAUCAAAACCACUGGAAUCGUUUACACCAUGAACACUGGCCAAGGAGAAGCACUUUUUAAACAUUCACUAAUACAUCACAGCUUUUGUCUAUAAAUUGAUUCAAAACAAUAAAUAAUGAUGUAAGAGCCAUUUCUACCCUUGUGUAGAGAAAUAGCCUCUAUUAGAAGAGCACAGGAGAGUUGCUGGACCAGAUGCUUUCUGGGCUGAACUCAUGGGGACUGGGGGGACGGGGACAGUAAAACCCCCAGAUUAGGCUGAAGACAUGAGGACAGAGGGGCUUGUGUG